ensembl:lncRNA
UUUUUUUUGCUAAACAAGUGGGUCUCAAAACAGGUGGGUCUCAUAACAGGUGGGGCUCUAAACAGGUGGGGCUCAAAACAGGUGGGGCUCUAAACAGGUGGGGCUCUAAACAGGUGGGUCUCAAAACAGGUGGGUCUCAUAACAGGUGGGGCUCUAAACAGGUGGGGCUCAAAACAGGUGGGGCUCUAAACAGGUGGGGCUCUAAACAGGUGGGUCUCAAAACAGGUGGGUCUCAUAACAGGUGGGGCUCUAAACAGGUGGGUCUCAAAACAGGAGGGGCUCUAAACAGGUGGGCCUCUAAACAGGUGGGCCUCUAAACAAAUCAACUCUGCCAUGAAUGACUGGUCGCCACUGGCUCUUAUAACCUCCACC